rnacentral:rRNA from 1 species
AGCAGCCGCGGUAACACCGGCGGCCCGAGUGGUGAUCGUGAUAUUGGGUCUAAAGGGUCCGUAGCCGGUUUGGUCAGUCCUCCGGGAAAUCUGAUAGCUCAACUAUUAGGCUUUCGGGGGAUACUGCCAGACUUGGAACCGGGAGAGGUAAGAGGUACUACAGGGGUAGGAGUGAAAUCUUGUAAUCCCUGUGGGACCACCUGUGGCGAAGGCGUCUUACCAGAACGGGUUCGACGGUGAGGACGAAAGCUGGGGGCACGAACCGGAUUAGAUACCCGGGUAGUCCCAGCCGUAAACGAUGCUCGCUAGGUGUCAGGCAUGGCGCGACCGUGUCUGGUGCCGCAGGGAAGCCGUGAAGCGAGCCACCUGGGAAGUACGGCCGCAAGGCUGAAACUUAAAGGAAUUGGCGGGGGAGCACAACAACGGGUGGAGCCCUGCGGUUUAAUUGGACUCAACGCCGGACAACUCACCGGGGGCGACAGCAAUAUGUAGGCCAAGCUGAAGACUUUGCCUGAAUCGCUGAGAAGAGGUGCAUGG